rnacentral:rRNA from 1 species
GUGAGUAGUUCUAGAGUUUGAUCCUGGCUCAGGAUGAACGCUGGCGGCAUGCCUAACACAUGCAAGUCGAACGGAGUUAAGUUUAGGAACUCUUCGGAGGGAAUAGAUUUAACUUAGUGGCGGACGGGUGAGUAACGCGUGAGUAACCUGCCUCUCAGAGGGGGAUAACGUUCUGAAAAGAACGCUAAUACCGCAUAUAAUCACGAAAUCGCAUGGUUUUGUGAUGAAAGGAGCAAUCCGCUGAGAGAUGGACUCGCGUCUGAUUAGCUAGUUGGUGGGGUAACGGCUCACCAAGGCGACGAUCAGUAGCCGGACUGAGAGGUUGAACGGCCACAUUGGGACUGAGACACGGCCCAG